AACGAACGCUGGCGGAAUGCUUUACACAUGCAAGUCGAGCGGCAGCGCGGGGGCAACCCUGGCGGCGAGCGGCGAACGGGUGAGUAAUGUAUCGGAACGUACCCAGUCGUGGGGGAUAACUAUCCGAAAGGAUAGCUAAUACCGCAUACGUCCUGAGAGAGAAAGCGGGGGACCGUAAGGCCUCGCGCGAUUGGAGCGGCCGAUAUCGGAUUAGCUAGUUGGUGAGGUAAAGGCUCACCAAGGCGACGAUCCGUAGCUGGUCUGAGAGGACGACCAGCCACACUGGAACUGAGACACGGUCCAGACUCCUACGGGAGGCAGCAGUGGGGAAUUUUGGGACAAUGGGGGCAACCCUGAUCCAGCCAUUCCGCGUGAGUG
rnacentral:rRNA from 1 species